AUUGAACGCUGGCGGCAUGCUUUACACAUGCAAGUCGAACGGUAACAGGUUAAGCUGACGAGUGGCGAACGGGUGAGUAAUGCAUCGGGACGUGCCCGAUCGUGGGGGAUAACACUUCGAAAGAAGUGCUAAUACCGCAUACGAUCUGAGGAUGAAAGCGGGGGACCGUAAGGCCUCGCGCGAUCGGAGCGGCCGAUGUCAGAUUAGGUAGUUGGUGGGGUAAAGGCUCACCAAGCCGACGAUCUGUAGCUGGUCUGAGAGGAUGAUCCGACACACUGGGACUGAGACACGGCCGAGACUCCUACGGGAGGCAGCAGUGGGGAAUAUUGGACAAUGGGGGGAACCCUGAUCCAGCCAUGCCGCGUGUGUGAAGAAGGCCUUAUGGUUGUAAAGCAGUUUAAGCGAGGAGGAGGCUCUUUUGGUUAAUACCCAAGAUGAGUGGACGUUACUCGCAGAAUAAGCACCGGCUAACUCUGUGCCAGCCGCCGCGGUAA
rnacentral:rRNA from 1 species